UACGUAGGGUGCGAGCGUUGUCCGGAAUUAUUGGGCGUAAAGAGCUUGUAGGCGGUUUGUCGCGUCUGCCGUGAAAUUUCGAGGCUCAACCUCGAACUUGCGGUGGGUACGGGCAGACUAGAGUGUGGUAGGGGAGACUGGAAUUCCUGGUGUAGCGGUGAAAUGCGCAGAUAUCAGGAGGAACACCGAUGGCGAAGGCAGGUCUCUGGGCCACUACUGA
rnacentral:rRNA from 1 species